UCAAAAAAGAGAACAGUCGUAGGAAGAAAAACUUAGCAAGCAGACUUGAGAAAGAAAAGAGCCAUUUCAAGGUACAAUUUUAGUUUCAUAGCACAAUUUUCUGAUUUUUUUUGCUCAAGAUUUCAGGUUCUGUUCAACUCAAGGGUUCCUGCCCAUGAUGAUUUCUAUCAUCAUAAAAAGGGUCAGUAAUCUCUCUAAGGGAAGGCUUCGCUCAAAGACUUCCAAGGAUCAAAUACCUCUAGGACAUCCAGCUAUGGAUUGACAGCCAAGAUGAUUGUAAUCAUCAUGAGGUCAAGUCCUGAUAUGCUCCAAGGUGCAGCUCCGCUCAGACGCUUCCAGGAUGUGCUCAACAUCCAAUUCACAAGCACUCCGUAAGGAUGGCUUAUCAUGAUGGGCUAACCAUCACAAAACCAAAUCUGGUGGCUUUGCAAGGAAAGCACGAACUGAGGUUUGUCUUUGACGUGGGUUGUGCCGCAGGGAGAUAGCAGACAGAGAAAAGGAAAAAAAUUAACGAAGGCAUUCGCUCAAAUACCCAGUCAUGAAAAAGCCUGCGAAGGUGAGCCCACCACGUGAAAGCUAAAGAAAAAAAUCAGCCAUGCUGAAAAAGCAAAACAAAAUGAAGAGUAAGUGUGGUGGUGAACCCACCACUUGCGAAUUCAAAGGAAGAGGACUUCUUCCUCUUUGACUCGAAGCAGAGUAAGAAAAAAAGAAGUCUUGGACUUCACGGACUUGCAUGUCCAAAUUGAAUCCAAGAUUCUGAAAAAGGGAUGGGUUGCAACUCUACAUGCAGCAAAACAAGGAAUUUGAAUUAUGAGUCCAAAUUCUAUUGCAUGAAGCUUAUGAUAAAAAAAAACAAUUGUGUUGCUGUGGGGCUGGCGCUGUACAGCACGUUUCACAAGACCAAUUCAAGAUGGCUGGGUCUCUCUACGAUGCCUUGAAGCAUCCAAAUGGCAAGCAAGAUUGUCAUGAUGAUUGCAAUCAUCAUGUGGCUUUGCUGCUCAAAUGCUCCCAUCCCAGGAUGCCUUUAGCAAUACAUGGCAACAACAAAAAAGGAAAACAAUUCAAAGUUGGGUUACCACGUGAAAUCCUCUUCUCUUUGAUGGUGCAACAGGUGGCUUGAGCAAAGCUAUGUGCUGGUCUGGAGAAGCAAACGAAGAAUAAUAUUAAGACUUUCGUUUUGUUGCUGUUUGCUGGUGCACAUAUGUUUUCUUUUUUUAUAAGGAAAACACAUAUGGCCCAAUCCUAUGUGGACAAGAAGUUUACUUCA